UGAGCCUCUGAGAACUGGCUGGAAGCUUUGGAUGCCUUCCCCCGAGAAAAGGUUUCAGCUUUGGGGCGUUGCUAGACUCCAUGACCCCAUGAAUCACAGGUGUGACCCUGGGGGAAGCCAUUCAACUCUGCCUUAAUAUACUCGUCUGUAAAAUGGGUACCAGAACACCCAAGUAUCUAAGAUUCCUGUGCAGACCAAACAAGAGACUGUGCAGGAACGGGCAUUUCAGACUAUCAAGCAAUGUCCAAACCCGAGAGGGUAACCAACAUGAGGAUCCAGGCGCACAGACAAAUACAGAAACGUGAGGGCUGGCCUGAGUUUUACUGUUAACCACCGCUACCUUGAAUGAUGAUGACAACGGGAGUGGGGAUGAUGAGGAGGAAGAGGAGAGGCGGAAGGAAUACAUGUGUGACAUAUGAUUACAUUUCCCCAUCUGCUGCAGGAA